CAGCAGGUGAGGUUUAGGCUGGACAUUAGGAGGAAUUUCUUCAGAGAAGGGGUAGUCAAGCAUUAGAAUGGGCUGCCCAUGGAGGUGGUGAAGUCGCCAUCCCUGGAGGUCUUUAAGAAAAGACCAGAUGUGGCACUCAGAGCCAUGGUCUGGUUGACAUGGUGGUGUUAGGUCACAGAUUGGA